rnacentral:rRNA from 1 species
GACGAACGCUGGCGGCGUGCUUAACACAUGCAAGUCGAACGGAAAGGCCCCUUUGGGGGUACUCGAGUGGCGAACGGGUGGGUAACACGUGAGUAACCUGCCCUUGACUUCGGGAUAACUUCAGGAAACUGGGGCUAAUACCGGAUAGGAAUCCUUGCUGCAUGGUGGGGGUUGGAAAGCUUCGGCGGAUUUGGAUGGACUCGCGGCUUAUCAGCUUGUUGGUGGGGUAGUGGCUUACCAAGGCUUUGACGGGUAGCCGGCCUGAGAGGGCGACCGGCCACAUUGGGACUGAGAUACGGCCCAGACUCCUACGGGAGGCAGCAGUGGGGAAUAUUGCACAAUGGGCGGAAGCCUGAUGCAGCAACGCCGCGUGCGGGAUGACGGCCUUCGGUUUGUAAACCGCUUUCAGCAGGGGCGAAGCUUGUGGUGACGGUACCUGCAGAAGAAGCACCGGCUAACUACGUG